rnacentral:lncRNA from 1 species
GCCCUCCCGUAUCCCCGGGCCCCAGGCUGUGCGCGGUGUCUGCGGCUGGGACCCGCCCAAGUGACACGUACAGUUGCCCCUAGCAUGACUGCGAUCUGAUCAGCAACCACCAGAACCUGACUCCUGUGUCCGGCGCCUUAGUCCUGGGGCCUGGUCACUGCCCAUCACUCCGGACCUGCCAUGGCUGCUGCUUUCACGUCCACGCCUGUCAUUUCACAGCCCCAGGUAUGUGAUUCAGGACCAGCAUAGGUUUGGGCUUGUCAUUGUAUUGUUGAAUAUUUCAGUUGAGUUUCGGAAAGUGUGUUGGAUUCUGGAGGUCAUGUGUCUACAGAAUGAUCAUUUGGUGGGGAUUUGGGUAGGGGAGUUUUUGUGAAGGGGGUGCUUUUGGUUCUCAGUGCCUGGGAUGUCUGGCUGCCCCUGUAGGCCCCAAACUUCCCAUCAAGACAGCCAAUAGUGUAUAUGUGUGAGUGGGUUGCUUUGCUGUACAGCAGAAAUGGACACAAUAUGGUAAAUCAACUAUAAUUAAACAAAAGUACUGUUAAAAAAAUGGAGUCUUUCAUGUAAAAAAAAAAAAAAAAAAAAAGACAGCCAGUAGCAAAUCCUGCUAUUUUCCCUCCUUUGGCUUUUUUAGGGCUUAUCUCAGAACAGAUCUAAUCUUCCAGCAAGUUUUCUGAAUAUUGUCUUGAUGUCCUCCUCUUAUAAUGAUGAUUAUUUUCCCUGGAUAUGUUUGAGUAACUUUGAGGAGAAAAAUGCAAUUCUAGAAACUUCUGAGCAGCGGUAACAUGAGUUCCUCUUUCUGUCCAGGGAAGAACAGUAACAUAGCAGGAGCACUGUUCUGUCUGUUUUACAAUCUGACCUCUUCAAUGGGUUAACGAUCCGGCAUUGCCGUGAGCUGUGGUGUAGGUUGCAGACGCAGCUCGGAUCCUGCGUUGCUGUGGCUCUGGUGUAGGCUGGCGGCUACAGCUCUGAUUCGACCCCUAGCCUGGGAACUUCCAUAUGCCAUGGGAGCGGCCCAAGAAAAUGGGAAAAAGACAAAAAAAAAAAAAAGCAAAUCUCGGUUUAAAUCCCGUAGCUAGGGGAUCGUUCAGUAUAGGUAUCUCUCCAGCUAAUUUUUUUUUUUAAAUCUCUAGAAUUCAGUAGUACUCACUGUGUUCACAGAUUUAAAUGGUGAAAUAUCUGUUAAGUGCUUUAUACAGUAUCCAUCUCUUAAUAGAUCCCCGACAUAUGUUAGCUCCUUCCUUUUCCCUCAUAAUUAUUCUUGGAGUUUCUGUACAGGGAGAAAGUGAUUACCUCUGCAUAUGGGCUGUGUAUAUGACGAGCUUAUGUUGCAUGCCAGAAGGUCCAUCAGAAGAAAGCCAAGUUAGAUAAACACUCUACAGAAAACUCCAAUGUAUUGCCAGGAAUAAAUGCAUGUGGAGAUAAACAUUGAGAUUUCUGACUUACUCCAUCGUGAACCAUGUUUCUAUUAGAAGUUAAAUUUGUUCUCAUAUUGCAGUGUGAAUUCAUCUAUGCCCCCUUCUGUGUUUAUAAACUCGGAGCUUGAGAGGAUAUCUUAUUUCAGAAUCUGAGGGCACAUUUUGAAUUUUCUGUUCAUAAGACGAAAUUGUACUGGGCUACCUACGGUAAACUACAAAUGAGACCUUUCACGUUUGUUUCUUUUUCUUUCUGAUACAUCCUUUCUAAUUGGUUUAGUGUUUAAUGAUUAAUGGUGCUAACUCUUUAUCCUUCAAAGGGAUGUGGCUUCCUCCCUCUUACUGCCCAUUAGGGUUCUCCUCGCCUGUUUUCCUCUUGUCAUGCUUAGAUUCUCCAGCUAUUUUUCUUUGAACUUUAGUUGCUGCUUUUCCAUAAAUAAAUGCUAAGGUGGGAUGAUGUCCUGCACUUUUUACCAGCUGAGGAAAUGAUAAUCAUAGGGUCUAGGAGAUUUAUGUCUUUAGAGGACACAAUGCUGUCAUUUCAAAAAAAAAAAAAAAUCAGGAGUUCCGAUUGUGGCUCAGUGGUUAACAAACCUGACUAGUAUCUGUGAGGACAUGGGUUUGACCUCUGGCCUCGCUCAGUAGGUAAAGGAUCUGGUGUUGCCAGAAGCAGCUUGGAUCCUGCUUUGCUGUGGCUGUGGUGUAGGCCAGCAGCUACAGCUCUGAUUUGACUCCUAGUCUGGGAACCUUUAUAUGCUGAGGGUACAGCCCUAAAAAGAC